rnacentral:lncRNA from 1 species
CUGCCAUACAUUUUUUUCUGCAAUGCGAUUUCAGUUAGGGUUGAUUUUAACUUAAGUAUUUUUUUCAAUUAUUUCCCCUUUUUUAUCAGAAAUCAAAUGUUUUGAAAAUGCAUAUGUCACAGUUUAUACCACAAUAUAACUUUGAAAAAUAUUCAUUGUCUUAAAUUUACCUAAACGUAAUGAUCACAGUCCUUGCCACACAUCAAGAAAUUGAUUAUGACUAACGCUCAGCAUCGAAGACCGUAGCAAUGCAAUAGCCUAAUGCGUUUUUGUUUAAAACAUAUGAACUGCAAGACGGCAACUGACACACAACCAUUAAUAAAUGUCAGGCGUUGCUAUGCCCAGUUCCUAUGCAAGUUCGUAGGAGCUGCGACUCGUCGACAGACUUCCAAAAAUUGGAGAGUCUUAUCUCUAUUUUUUAAGCAGUUUUUUAAACAAAUCCAAGUAAUAUUUUUUCACAUCCAUAAUUCACUUUCAAGAGAUCGGAAGA